ACCUCACUCAUGUUGGUUUGGCUGUUUCACCUCUGUGUUUCCCGCAUCGUCCUGUCCCGUCUUCCAGCUUUUGCGUCCCUCGUCCUCAUGUUGUACUUGUUCCUGCCUUUUGCUUUGAAUUUUAAACUUUUUUUUUUGGACUGCUCUCAGCUCCUUACCUGUCUGCAGCUGGGUCCCUCUGUGUUAAACCUGUCGUCUCACGCCGGAAGGUUUUCUCUGUGUUUUCUGUCACAAGUGCCCUCCGAGGUGCCCCGCUGCAUGCUGGUGCCAUUUUAUUUGAUGUUUUUACCUCCAACAUCCAGAGUCCACAAGCCCUCAGGGCAGAAAACUGUGCAUUAAAUAACACCUAAAAUCUGUUGAGCUGGAGAGACGAGCUCCUCGGAGCCAGGCCUCCGUCUGCUCACACUCAUGACGAUAAGCUGGUGGUUUUACAGGCUGGACUAACAAAGCCGGGACGUCUGUGGCAAAGCAAACUUUAAAAAAAAAAAAAAACAUAUCAAUCAGUCUUUGGAGUUCGCAUGAAUUGAAGUUUGCAGAGACCGACUGAUCCCAUGUAACUGUAGUUUUGAGAGAGAAGCUUUAUGAGCCGAACGCCAACUUUACAGUGUUGAAAAGUGCGAGAAUGUUAAAUCCAUCUGCAAUCUCUCCAAGCAGACGUCAGGAGUUCAUUCUUUAGUCCGUUUUUAGUCGGAUUCUUUAAUAUGACUGAUGACAACCCGAAGCUGCAGUGAAGACUGAUGGGAGAUCUUCAUCAGCUGCUGCCGAAUCACUGUUGCUGACUUAGAUCGUUUACCUCAGUGCUAAUUACGACAUUAGUAGUUCACUAUGGAGGACUAAACGUGGCAUAAUUAAAUAAAUAAAUACACCAUUAAAUAA